UUCGAUCUAUUCAAUAUGGUGGUCAAUCAAGAAAUGUUUUUGCUUGCAAAAAGAUCGUAAAUUGUUGGCGCUACAAGCUCGGAAAGAUUGUAAAUGAGAUCAGGCUUUUAUCAGCUCACAGAAUAACAAGAAGGAAUCAUCCAAACAAAUUUAUUUGUAACAUGGUGGAUAGCAAAGUCCCUCUUUGAAAACCUACUUCAGUCAUUUUACGAUUGUAAAUGAGAUCAGGCUUUUAUCAGCUCACAGAAUAACAAGAAGGAAGCAUCCAAACAAAUUCAUUUGUAAAAUGGUGGAUAACAAAGUCCCUCCUUGAAAACCUACUUCAGUCAUUUUACGAUUAAAAGUCCAGCGAGAAAUGAAGUGAAAGGCGAUUUGAAAACCACGAGAUUGCUUUUGCCAAUGUUUUGAUCUGAAGGCUUAAAGAACCAUUUUUACAAUAUUGGAGAUAUGUAGUGGAAUAAAUGCCUGGAAAGACAAUUAUUGUCUGACAAUAUAAACUAUAAAUUGAAACCGGAAUGCAAUGAUAAGAAAGGGAAAUAUGGAAUAAAUGCCUGGAAAUACAAUAUAAACUAUAAUUUUAAACUGGAAUGCAAUGAUAAGAAAGGGAAAUAAACUAUUGCUAAGUCUAAAGAACCACUGAAGCUGAAGAAUUGAGAUACAACAAUCUUUGACUGACUUUAGGUGUAAGACGUUCGCCCAGCUAUUGUAGACCGCAUGGAAUCGAUUCAAGUCCUUUAAAAAUUUGUGAAUCAAGAUGAGAAUGAACUUAGUGAAUCUAUUGGUGGCGAUCGAAGGUGGACAGCAAGAUCGAAGCUCAGCAAGAUUGAAGAUUGUUCGAAGAAGAAGGAGUUCGCCGUUGACUAAAAGGUUUAUCUGAACAGCUAGUUGUCAAGAUGAAUGCGAAGACUCGCCCGGCCAAAUUCAAAAUGGCGAUGCCAAAGAAAACCACCACCUGGACCGUUCGCAGACCUUUCUGGGCAAGAUUGUUGUGCUGUCUGGUCAAAGUUAAGUAUUUUACUUUGAUGUUUGUGUGCCUUCGGCUAAUUGUUGGCCAGAAAUGACAAAAAGCCAUAUACAAUAUGAAAUAUUCUGCGUACAAGGUUAUCUAAAAUUUCGAACUUAAUUCUGCCUGCAAUGAUGAUAAUUUUUUACUGAAAAUUUAUGUCAUGAGCAACUUCCGCACCUAUAGACUGAAGCAGAACUGAACAUUUUGUCAUUAACGUUUAUCUCAACAGCCAGUUAUCAAGACGAACGUCAAGAGAACAGUUGAAAUA